rnacentral:lncRNA from 1 species
CUGCUCUUCUCUUGUGUGAUUAUGGGAUGUUCUCCACACCAUCACCAUCUCCUUCAGGGAUCCCCACUAAUGCAAUAUCAACGAUAUCCGACUCUAACACUACUGUGACGACAGCUAAAUCCGUAACAGCCGGGAAUGGCUCGAGCACGUUAGAAUCUGGCUUAGGGAAAAAUCUGCCAAAUGAUUUAAAUGGUACGACUGAGAGCAGCAGAGACCAUUCUGUCACUGAAUCUCAAAGGGUUAAUGGAAGCACCAGCAGAGCGAUCGCUUCAACAGCAAGUCCAGAGAGCACCACACACAACGUGAAGCACCAUACUACUCAAGAAAAAAAAGUUUCAGAUUCAACAACGGUUACAGGAGGAUUGAAUACAGGAGAUAAAACAUACAAUAACAGGAGGUGUCAUCAUUUUGAUCAUCAUCCUGCUCCUGAUUUUUUCUCUGCUUGGCAUUUUGUACUAUCUGAGAAAGAAAGCAAGGAGUUACUCAUUUGAUCUGACUCACGUCGACGUAGCUGCCAAUGAUUACACUGACACCCCGCUCAGGAGCGACCAACAAGGCAUAAGCUAUGAACAAACUAACAAAGGCAAGUGUGAAUGCAAAAUUAGUUACGCACCUGGAUAUGAACUUUCUUGAUUUAACCGUGUGCAGUCUGAUCAGAAACCUGCAAGUCUACCUGUAAGUUUGCUUAAACUCUCUUUAUGUCUUUCUGCUCAGAUCUGCCUGUGUGUUCAGACUAUGUACAAGAGGACAAGACUACAGAGGAGAAGACUAAUCCCAUCGCAAAUGGGUCUUGUGGAGAGAAAACUGAACAAGCACCCACCAAUGACAACGGUAAAGCAUUUUCCAAACAGCAUGCAUUUUUACAUUGUUUUGGCAGUAUUGCAUCUGUUAUUUCAAGCAAGCUCUCAAACAGGCUCAUAAUUUAAAGUCUUCUCUUGAUGGUUGCUUUUUUCCAAUCUGUAAUAUCUUCACUGAGAGGGAAAUGAAUGAGUUGUAAAAGCUCACUUUGUUAUAUUCAGUAGUGAUGAUAAUCUUCCCGUCUGUUAUCUUAAAGAUUAUCAGAAUGUUCCAGAAGAGAACAGUUUCUCUUCAAACUCGAGCUUGAGUACACCCAUGAAGAACGAGGAUUUUAACCUGUACCUAAAUCUGCUUGGAGGUGAUUUAAACGAUUUGACCGAAGCUGAAGCCACCGAUACGACGCAAAAUGAAAACAACAAUAAUGUCAGUAAUGCUGGUCAGUAUAACCAAAAGAAAGUAAUUGACCAGCGUGCCUCUAGAAUGAUUUUUGGUCGAUUUUAUGAUUAAAAAAAUUACAAAAAUUAGGUCUUUGCAAUGGGUAAUGUUGUAAGUUUACAUUGUCACUAUGUUUUUAUGUUUUACAGAGCAGGGAGCAGCAGAAGAGAUCUUCACUGAAAUCAGUCUAGAUGAGCCAAACUAGCAUGCAUAGUGUGUGUUUCCAGUGCAGCGGUCAAGAUCUCGGGUGUCCGGUACCUAGAUCCAAACUAUAGACUAUAUGAGUGCAAAAGCAUCCUUCUGCCAUUCUCACUUUAAGUUCUGUUUCAUCUACUGCUAAAGGAGAUUGUAUACUGUACAUAAAAAAAGAACAUUGAAUCAUUGGUUGAAGUUUAUGUAAAAAUUUUAAUGCUUUAUAAAAUAAUUUGUGGCUAUAAUAAACAUUCGCUGUGUAAUGCAAUGCACUUGUGUGUGUUUGACUGACGCCUGAAGCUUCUUCAUUAACAUUCAUUUGAGAGUUUCACUAUAUAAUUUGUUCAGCUGAAGGUGAUGGGCACAAUGGGGAAAGACACAGAGAAAGAGCUUAAAUACUCCUGGUCUUCCUCAGUUUAAGAGGGAAAAUGGCCUAUCACCAGAAGAUGUAUCUUCACUGGCCAAGUAGUGCUUAAUUUGCUUUAUACAGUAUUACCCAAUCACGUUGUACAUAGUUGUGGCAUCGAACAUAAAGACUGCUGUUAUCCUCAACCAGCCCCUAAAUGAACCAGCUACAGUAAUCAUAUAACCAGUGUUGGGGGUAAUGCAUUGCGAGUAUAGCAAGCUAUUAAAAUUAACUUUAAAAAUGACAUUUUCUUGUGAUUGAGAAGAAAGUGUUGAACUUCCUUGCCUUAUGUCUUAUUCUUCAUGCAAUCCAGAAACAAAAACAAGAAUUAUUCAACAAUUCUUCUACUAUGGCGAGUACCACGACACAUGCAUGUGCAUUAUUCGGCUCGUAAACAAGGCGCAGCGCAAGCAUCAUGCUAUUCUCGAUAAUGCCGGUGUCCUGACAUUUUAUCCUACCCCUCAGAUUUUCCUACUAGGGUAUACUGCGCAUUCACACAUCAAUAUUGCGUCCUUUUUCUUGCGCUGAACAACAAUAUUUAAUGUAUCUGCAUUACUGGAAGGGUAGGUUUAGGGUUGGGGUAGGUGUAGACUUUAAUAAAAACACAAUCUAAUCUAGAAAAAAUUAUUUAUUGUUGGUUUCCUGUAGCCGUAUCCCUUCUAGC